rnacentral:rRNA from 1 species
GACGAACGCUGGCGGCGUGCUUAACACAUGCAAGUCGAACGGAAAGGCCCUGCUUUUGUGGGGUGCUCGAGUGGCGAACGGGUGAGUAACACGUGAGUAACCUGCCCUUGACUUUGGGAUAACUUCAGGAAACUGGGGCUAAUACCGGAUAGGAGCCCCUGCUGCAUGGUGGGGGUUGGAAAGUUUCGGCGGUUGGGGAUGGACUCGCGGCUUAUCAGCUUGUUGGUGGGGUAGUGGCUUACCAAGGCUUUGACGGGUAGCCGGCCUGAGAGGGUGACCGGCCACAUUGGGACUGAGAUACGGCCCAGACUCCUACGGGAGGCAGCAGUGGGGAAUAUUGCACAAUGGGCGGAAGCCUGAUGCAGCAACGCCGCGUGCGGGAUGACGGCCUUCGGGGUGUAAACCGCUUUCGCCUGUGACGAAGCGUGAGUGACGGUAAUGGGUAAAGAAGCACCGGCUAACUACGUG